CAAGCAUGGGUUUCAUAUUUAAAUAAUUUUUUGGAUAAAGCAAUAUAAAAAAGAAAUUUAGUUCCGAAAUUUAGAAAUGUAAAAUAUUGAUUGAAUAGAAAUGAAAAGUAUUGAUUAAGAAAAACAGAGGAAUCAUGUUACUGCCAUAGUAAACUGUAAAAAAAAAAUAUGUUUAAUUAUAAGUUCAUAGUUCUUUAAUUAGUAGAAAUCAACUUUUUUUUAUUUUAACUUUUAUUAAAUUGAAAGAUAACCUACUUCAUAAGUGAUAGUGGAGGCAUGCCAGGAUCUGCACCUUUUCUAAAUCCUGUAAAUAUAUAUACAUAUAUAAACGUAUAUUUACCAAUGUUAAAACAUUUAUCAUACAUAUUAUGUUAUAAAUAUCAAUAAAUAUUUAUAACAAAUAUAUUAGGUACAAAAUAAAAUCUAACCUAAAAAGAGGACAGUAGGAAUAAAACCCCAAUGAAAUAUAACUUUGCUGACAUCUAAGACAAUAGCAAUCUUUUGCUUUGUGCUUGGGCUUAUUGCCAUUUUUAGAAAAUUAAUUUUUGAUCGAUGAUAGAAGAAGUACCACGUACGUACUCAAAGGAAAUCUUAUCCAUACAAUCUCAAUUCACACAGAUACGGUGUCCAAUUCUCGUUGGAUCUAACUGACCUGAAAAUACAAGUCACAUAUUCAUGUAUAUAGAAUAAGAUCUUAUUAAUUCUUUUUUGUGACAAAUCAGGUAAAGUUACAACGGAAUGUAUCUUAUCCCUAGGCUAUUAUAGGUGAUUUUUUGAACGUUUAAUUAUUAAGGCGUAUGUACAACAAUAAAUAAUAAUGAUAUAAAUUUAAUUUGUAACGUUGACGUUUAAUCUGAAUAUAUAUUGUUUCUAUAGUUUCUAAAUAAUGUAAAUAAAAUAGAAUUUGAUAAGGAUAAAUUAAAGGUAUAAGAUUAUUUUUGUAUAAACAUCUUAUAGAAGUAAUUACUUACGUAUAUGCAUAUUGUUAAUAUGUUAAGAAAAACGUAGGUAUUAUAAAUUUGAUUCGAUUAAAAUAAUAAAAAAACUAAGUUAUUGAUAUUUAAUUACAUUAUAUCAUAGUGUUAAAGAUGAUUGUUGAGUUAUUGAUCAUGUUUUCCAUGACGAAUAUGUUUACACUUUUUGUUAUUUUGAUAUCAACAAUUUCAAUGUCAUCCAUAUAUGAUUGUGCAUAGGGACUGUGUGAUCCAUAGGAGUUUUGUUGCGAUUAAGAAACUUGUUGUCCUAUUGGAUAAUAUGACAUAGUUUUUAUGGUGACAUUAAUCUUAGGAAUAUUAGCCAUAAUCAUGAUUUGCUGCAUCGGCUUUUACUAUAAUAUGCAAAAGAUCUGUUCUAUAUUGUCACAGAGACAUACUAGUAUAACAUACAUGAUAGUACGAUCAAAUCCUGAUUCAUAAAUAAAACUGGCAACAACAAAUAAGUAUUUAGGGAUAAAAAAGGAUAAAAAUACUUGUAAUAUACAAGAAAAUUAGUAGAAUAAUAGAGAAAAGAACAACUUUUUCAUUUAUUAUUUACUAUAACAGAGUAUUGACAUUGUAUAUAUUUUUUGUUUAUAAUUACAAUUUUUUAAUUUAUAAUUAUUAUAAUAAUAUAUAAUAUAUAAUAUAUAAUAUAUGAUAAUAUUAGGAAGAAAAUUAUGACAAUUGCAUGACAUAUAGAUAAAUUCAUAUAUUUUAUAUGAAUUAUUUUUUAAUAGUGAAAUGAUAAGUAAACUUAUUAUAUUAUUCCAAUUAUCUCAUCUAUAAAAUCACUAUUAAAGUGAAAUAUUCAAUAUUUUGUACUCAUGUACCUAAUAUAUAUUGUAUGUAUGACAGUAAUGACAUCAAUUAAUU